rnacentral:rRNA from 1 species
UGGUAAUACCGGAUGCUCCGCUCCACCGCAUGGUGGGGUGGGAAAUGCUUUUUUGCGGCAUGGGAUGGGGUCGCGUCCUAUCAGCUUGUUGGCGGGGUGAUGGCCCACCAAGGCGUUGACGGGUAGCCGGCCUGAGAGGGUGACCGGCCACAUUGGGACUGAGAUACGGCCCAGACUCCUACGGGAGGCAGCAGUGGGGAAUAUUGCACAAUGGGCGCAAGCCUGAUGCAGCGACGCCGCGUGCGGGAUGGAGGCCUUCGGGUUGUAAACCGCUUUUGUUCAAGGGCAAGGCACGGUCUUUGGGCCGUGUUGAGUGGAUUGUUCGAAUAAGCACCGGCUAACUACGUGCCAGCAGCCGCGGUAAUACGUAGGGUGCGAGCGUUAUCCGGAUUUAUUGGGCGUAAAGGGCUCGUAGGCGGUUCGUCGCGUCCGGUGUGAAAGUCCAUCGCCUAACGGUGGAUCUGCGCCGGGUACGGGCGGGCUGGAGUGCGGUAGGGGAGACUGGAAUUCCCGGUGUAACGGUGGAAUGUGUAGAUAUC